CAGCUACCUGCCUCAGACUCCUCCAAGAAGCUCUCUCCUCCGGGAUCGACCCAAGGCUCCUCCCAGGUGUCUCCCAGAGUGUUUUGACCUCUGCGUUCAGGACUGGAGAUCCCAGCUACCUGCCCCAGACUCCUCCAAGAAGCUCUCUUCUCCGGGAUCGACCCAAGACUCCUCCCAGGUAUCUCUCAGAGUCUUUUGGCAUCUGCUUUAAGUACCGAAGAUC